rnacentral:rRNA from 1 species
AACAGGAUUAGAUACCCUGGUAGUCCACGCCGUAAACGAUGUCGACUUGGAGGUUGUGCCCUUGAGGCGUGGCUUCCGGAGCUAACGCGUUAAGUCGACCGCCUGGGGAGUACGGCCGCAAGGUUAAAACUCAAAUGAAUUGACGGGGGCCCGCACAAGCGGUGGAGCAUGUGGUUUAAUUCGAUGCAACGCGAAGAACCUUACCUACUCUUGACAUCCAGAGAACUUUCCAGAGAUGGAUUGGUGCCUUCGGGAACUCUGAGACAGGUACUGCAUGGCUGUCGUCAGCUCGUGUUGUGAAAUGUUGGGUUAAGUCCCGCAACGAGCGCAACCCUUAUCCUUUGUUGCCAGCGGUUAGGCCGGGAACUCAAAGGAGACUGCCAGUGAUAAACUGGAGGAAGGUGGGGAUGACGUCAAGUCAUCAUGGCCCUUACGAGUAGGGCUACACACGUGCUACAAUGGCGCAUACAAAGAGAAGCGACCUCGCGAGAGCAAGCGGACCUCAUAAAGUGCGUCGUAGUCCGGAUCGGAGUCUGCAACUCGACUCCAUGAAGUCGGAAUCGCUAGUAAUCGUAGAUCAGAAUGCUACGGUGAAUACGUUCCCGGGCCUUGUACACACCGCCCGUCACACCAUGGGAGUGGGUUGCAAAAGAAGUAGGUAGCUUAACCUUCGGGAGGGCGCUUACCACUUUGUGAUUCAUGACUGGGGUGAAGUCGUAACAAGGUAACC